ACAUCGUCUGCUCGGGCUGAAGGGUUCGGGACCACAAACACAACAAAUCUCUUCCAGCCGAUUAAUAAACUGCUGAAAUCGACUGAUUCAGAUCGUUUUCAGCUGCAACUGUGGAAAAAGUCACCAGUCACAAAUUAUUCAGAGUCCUGGACCAUUUACAGCUCUUAAAGGGACGGUUCGACACAUUAAAGGGACGGUUCGACACAUUAAAGGGGCAGUUCACCACAUUAAAGGGGAGGUUCGACACAUUAAAGGGGAGGUUCGACACAUUAAAGGGACGGUUCGACACAUUAAAGGGACGGUUCGACACAUUAAAGGGGAGGUUCGACACAUUACAGGGGCGGUUUGACACAUUACAGGGACGGUUCGACACAUUAAAGGGGAGGUUCGACACAUUAAAGGGACGGUUCGACACAUUAAAGGGACGGUUCGACACAUUAAAGGGGCGGUUCGACACAUUAAAGGGGCGGUUCGACACAUUAAA